UACAGGGGGUGCAAGCGUUGUUCGGAAUUACUGGGCGUAAAGGGCGUGUAGGCGGUUUAGUAAGUCAGAUGUGAAAUCCCGGGGCUCAACUCCGGAAGUGCAUUUGAAACUGCUAGGCUAGAGUGCAGUAGAGGAUGGUGGAAUACCCAGUGGAGAGGUGAAAUUCGUAGAUAUUGGGUGGAACACCGGUGGCGAAGGCGACCAUCUGGGCUGCAACUGACGCUGAGGCGCGAGAGCGUGGGGAGCAAACAGG
rnacentral:rRNA from 1 species